GUUUAAGUAGUUUAUAAUAAAACAUUGGUCUUGUAAACCAAAAUAGAAUAAUUUAUUCCUUAAACU
rnacentral:tRNA from 1 species